rnacentral:rRNA from 1 species
UGCGCAGGCGGGCUAUUAAGUCAGUGGUGAAAUCUCUCGGCUCAACCGAGAGACUGCCAUUGAAACUGAUAGUCUUGAGUAUGGUUGUGGUAGGCGGAAUAUAGCAUGUAGCGGUGAAAUGCUUAGAUAUGCUAUAGAACACCGAUCGCGAAGGCAGCUUACCAAACCAUUACUGACGCUCAGGCACGAAAGCGUGGGGAGCGAACAGGAUUAGAUACCCUGGUAGUCC